rnacentral:rRNA from 1 species
GACGAACGCUGGCGGCGUGCCUAAUACAUGCAAGUCGAGCGAAUCUUUUGGGAGCUUGCUCCCGAAAGAUUAGCGGCGGACGGGUGAGUAACACGUGGGCAACCUGCCUAUAAGACUAGGAUAACUUCGGGAAACCGGAGCUAAUACCGGAUACGUUCUUUUCUCGCAUGAGAGAAGAUGGAAAGACGGUCUCGGCUGUCACUUAUAGAUGGGCCCGCGGCGCAUUGGCUCGUUGGGGGGGUAAUGGCUCACCAAGGCGACGAUGCUUAGCCGACCUGAGAGGGUGAUCGGCCACACUGGGACUGAGACACGGCCCAGACUCCUACGGGAGGCAGCAGUAGGGAAUCUUCCGCAAUGGACGAAAGUCUGACGGAGCAACGCCGCGUGAACGAAGAAGGCCUUCGGGUCGUAAAGUUCUGUUGUUAGGGAAGAACAAGUACCAGAGUAACUGCUGGUACCUUGACGGUACCUAACCAGAAAGCCACGGCUAACUACGUGCCAGCAGCCGCAGUAACAC